rnacentral:rRNA from 1 species
AUGUCGAAGAUGGCGGACGAGAAGGUGAUUUCGGCGCCGGCGACCGGCGGAGGAGAGGACGGGCUGAUCGCAGGGGACCUGUCAGCCACGGAGGCGCGUGUCCGUCCGUUGGAGACGCUGCUGCGCGCCGCGCCUCUGGGGCUCUGCGUCGCCGCCAUGGCCGUCAUGCUCCGCGACACGCAGACCAACGAGUACGGCACCGUCUCCUACUCCGACCUCGGCGGAUUCAAGUACCUGGUUUAUGCCAACGGGCUGUGCGCGGCCUACUCCCUGGUCUCCGCGUUCUACACUGCCGUGCCGCGGCCGGCGACCCUGUCCCGCUCCUGGAUCGUCUUCCUCCUAGAUCAGGUGUUCACGUACCUGAUCCUGGCGGCCGGCGCGGCGUCGGCAGAGCUACUCUACCUGGCGUACAACGGCGACAAGGAGGUGACGUGGAGCGAGGCGUGCGGCGUGUUCGGCGGCUUCUGCAGGCAGGCCCGGACGUCGGUGGCCAUCACCUUCGGCUCCGUCGUCUGCUACAUCCUCCUCUCCCUCAUCUCGUCCUACCGCCUCUUCAGCGCCUACGACGCACCCAUGCCCUCGCUCGGCAACAAGGGCGUCGAGAUCGCUGCCUUCCCGCGCUGA